AUUGAACGCUGGCGGCAGGCCUAACACAUGCAAGUCGAGCGAGCGGCGGACGGGUGAGUAAUGUAUGGGGACUGCCCGAUAGAGGGGGAUAACUACUGGAAACGGUAGCUAAUACCGCAUACUAUCGGAUAACCCAUAUGGGAUUAGCUUGUAGGUGAGUUAAUGGCUAACCUAGGCGACGAUCCCUAGCUGGUCUGAGAGGAUGAUCGGCAACACUGGGACUGAGACACGGCCCAGAUUCCUAGGGAGGAAGAAGUGGGGAAUAUUGCACAAGGGGGGAAAGCCGGAUGCAGCCAUGCCGCGGGUAUGAAGAAGGCUUUAGGGUUGUAAAGUACUUUCAGUGGGGAGGCGUUACCGACAGAAGAAGCACCGGCUAACUCCGUGCCAGCAGCCGCGGUAAUUC
rnacentral:rRNA from 1 species